AUUUAAUUUUUGUUAUGCAUUUAAUUUUCAGGCUGAGGUUGCACCUCUUGAUGUUGAAAAUGAAAAUGAUGAAGAAAUAAAUGGCGGUGUAAAAAAGUUUGUUCGUAUGGCUGGUGAAGAUCAUUUUAGGAUUCCUGAUCCUGUUUCACGCAUGGCUAGACUUCAUGAAGGUUUAAAAGAUUUGACCGUUAGAUUUUCGCAUCUGGAUCCGCCAUUGCAGAUUACCAACGGUACCAGACGUGAAAGACGUGAAAGAAAAGGCAAGACUGGUUUUUGAUAUGCUUUGACCUCUUGGAAGAAGUUCAUGAAAGCCGCUAGGAUUAAGUUACAUUUCAAUUAAAGUUACUGAAGUGGGAGUUUAGAACCUAUAUUGGAUUGCUCGAGCAGAAUGGAACAACCAGCCAUCACGUUGCUGAAAAAUUUGAAUCUCAACCAGGAUGACUAUACCAUCAAAGUUCGCAUUGUCAGACUAUGGAGUCGAGCAGCCUUCAAUGAUCCUCGAAAGGUUUAUUGCUAUGAUAUGAUUUUAAUGGACG